CAGUGGGGUAGAGGUGCAGCGGGCAAGAGUACUGCCGGUGAGGCGGGCACCGGUGAGCCGGCAGGAAAGGGUACGCUGCCGAAGGGAGAUGGUUAGCCCGGACCUUCUCCCUGGGCCGGCCGCUGAACAAGGGCCGGACUGUCACCGUAGAGGCUAGUGCCACGAAGGAUCGUUGCCUAUUUACGGUGGAGCGCUACUCGCACG
rnacentral:ncRNA from 1 species